ACGCUGGCGGCGUGCUUAAUACAUGCAAGUCAACUUGACUUUAGAUAGCAAUAUCGAAAAGUAGGGUGGCGCACGGGUGCGUAACGCGUAGGUAAUCUGCCCUGAGGUCUGACAUAACCCGUCGAAAGGCGGGCUAGCAUCAGAUGAUAUAUAAUCACGACAUCGUGGAAAUAUCAAAUCUUCGGAGCCUUGGGAUGAGCCUGCGUCUGAUUAGGUAGUUGGCGGAGUAAUAGCCCACCAAGCCUACGAUCAGUAGCUGGUCUGAGAGGAUGAUCAGCCACACUGGAACUGAGACACGGUCCAGACUCCUACGGGAGGCAGCAGUAAGGAAUAUUGCUCAAUGGGGGGAAACCCUGAAGCAGCAACGCCGCGUGAAGGAUGAAAUACUUUGUAUGUAAACUUCUGUAAGAUGGGAAAAAUAUUCUCCUCGGGAGAAUUGAUUGUACCAUCAGAGUAAGCCCCGGCUACCUACGUG
rnacentral:rRNA from 1 species